rnacentral:lncRNA from 1 species
AGGUGGAAUGGUGGUGGAGGUGGUGGUGCAGGUGUUGGUGGUAGAGGUGGGGUGUCGAUGGUAGAAAUGGUAUUGUCUACAUGGCUUUCCUACUCAGUGCCAAGAGCACUCCAGUUUUCCUGUGUGGACUUGUCCAUCAAGAUGUCUCCCUGUUCAAGGCAGGGCUCGUGCUUUAGCAAGACCAGAGGACCCUCUCCCUGGAAUGUGAGUUGAUGGUGCAGGCAGGUCAUGGCAGGUGCUGCUCCUGCAACAGCAGCACUGCAGAGGUGGCCCUUGUGCUGGAGGCCCGUCACAUUCCCAGGUUUCCAUCUCUUCCUUGAUUCUGGGUUCCUGGGCCUCCAUAAGGUCCUUGGUGCCAGAUGCCUUUCUGUCACCUGUGCUGAGAAGGCUGGAGACUGUGCAAGAGGAUGGGCCUCAGUGAGUGGUGGUGAGAAUCACUCCCAAGCUUUGAGCACUGUGUGAGUGGCCAGUUUCAACAACAGUGGCUAGGCAGUGGCUCUGUGCCCCCCACAGAGGAGGAGCCCAGGCCGGGAGACUUACACCGUCGUCUUCCAGGGUCCUCAGCAGCACGUGUGGAAUCUGUCCAAACACCCGGUCUCACUCCAGCAGUGUCACACCAAGUGUCUGCCCUCCCCAAAUUCGCCCUUCCUUGACUCUGCUAGACACCUCCAGCCUGGCACGCCUGGCAUGGCGGGGGCCUGAAAUCCUUCCACUCCGGAGGCUGAGCCCAGAGGAACUGAGCCCAAGAGUUCCGGGCCAGCUGAAGCAACACGAGGAGACUCCACCUCGUAGACCACAAGGACAACUGCAAAAGCUACUGCUGACGCCCUCUGGCAGGCCCAGCUCCACCAGCGCAGGGGCCUCACCAAGAGGUUUUGCUUGCUCACAUCUGCUGGGCUUCUCCCGUCUUUCAAGAGGGAAAUGUCAAGUGAGAGAAGCCCCAAAGCAACAUGGUAGUGUGACCUGCCUACACUCUCCUUGGCCCCAGGCCACACUCUCCCGCAGAUUGGUCAGGAAUCUGCUGCAAAAAGGUAUUCACAUUCUGAAUGAGCAAGUGAUCAGCCCUCAGUCUGACUAAGCUACAGAGAACCUCGCCAGGGUCUGGGAGCCACCCGCCUCCUAGGCAACCCUCACCACCAGCCGACUACCAGGCCAGCAUGCUGCCUCCUAGAGCCCAGGGCACACUGGGCUAGAGGGAGAAUCUGGCCUGCCAAGCACCAGGCUUUCCUCCAGACCUGGGCCACCGGCUUGCUGCCCAGGCUCUGCUCAGCCACGUGCACCUGAUUGGUGUCCGGGGUACCAGCUCCUCUCUCUUUGGCCACUUUCAGUUAGUUACUGCUAGUGCUGUGGCAUGGAUUUCAGAGCAAGACUUUCCACACACUAAAGGGGGGCUUCCUUGUGCUUCCUUCCUGCAGUGGGAGAGGCUGGUGCACAAGCCGCCUUCAGCACAAGGGCCAGGAAGGACCCAGCAACGCAAAAUUGAGUCCAGUGGAGAGACCAGUGUCUCUCUGCCCCUGUGGAACAGAGCCUGGACCACACGGUAGCAGGCCCUGUGGCUCAGAUGACAGGCACUGCAGGGCCAAGCCAGCAUGGCUCUGCAUCUGCCACAGAGCCCCGGAACUCACGACUGGUUGGGAGAAUCAGGGAACUUUGGGAUGGAAUAGAGGACAUUCCAGGUCCCCUGUUUAAAUGUCACGCUAUUCUGUUUUCACUUUAAAACACGGACACCCUCCUCAGGCCAUUCUGGCGCCCAGGGGGUCUGUCAGUGAUCAGCGGUCAGUGUGUGCUACACAGCUACUGGGCAGAGGAGGCCUAGAGCCCUCUGAAAGGGCGGAGCGGGGCUGGCUGUGCCUGCUGCAGCCCGAGGCUGCUCACAGGGCCUGGGUGUAAGAUGAGCUUCACCAGGAACCAGGCCAGUUCCAGUCCACACAAGACAGACUCCAGGGUCACAGAGACGUUCUCAGGAGACUGGGGUCGUAAAAGGCCACGGUGCAAACUUGCAGAGGCGCCCGAGCCUGAAGAUGGAGAAGCUUGAGUUUUCACUCCCCUUGACCAAGGUCCAUCAGACACGCCCAUGGCAUUGUUCACAAUGAUGCCAAAAAAGCAUUCUGCCAUUUACAGGGUGCUGGGCACCGACUCAGCCUUCUGGGAACUGUGAAUCGCCAGGACAGGCAGAGGCAGUGGGGGCCCCAAGAGGGCAGGCAGGGGCAGCAGGCUGGGGCCUGUAACACAGCAAGCAGCAGCAGCCCCUGGCGGGUGUGCGGGGCGACCUGAACCCUAACCUGCCCAGGGCUCUGUCAGUCUACAGGACGUCACUCACAGGCCCACAUGGGAAUAAGCCAAACGUAGAAGGAGCAAAAUGCUACAAGAGGAAACCAGGGGCUUCGGCCAUUCAUGCAGGAGGGGAGAAGUGCUACCUAUCAAGAGGGUGUCAGGACACAGGAAUCCAGAUGAAGCAAGCCAAUCACAGAGAUGCAUUUUGAGACAGGGAC